UGCCCAGCCACUGGGGCCGUGUCGAGUGGUGGCACUGCCAGCCCUGCAGUGGGAUGUAGCCUGGAAAGUGCACAGAGGUGAGGCAAGGGAUUUAAAGGGACCAACCAAGGGAGGUGAAGAAAGAAGGAAGAAGGGAACUGAGGCAGCAGCCAAGCAGCACCAAGUUCCUGUGUCAGCAGGGAAUAACUCCUGUCAGCAGCAAGGUCCCGACUGAAGUGGCAGCUGCAGUUGUUCCUGUGGUGUGGGCCAGUGGAAUUCCAAGAAAAAUGACAAGGACAGAACCUGUAAGAAUUACCCCUAAGCCAGAGUCUCUCCUGGUAAGGCAAACCCAGUAUCCUUUAAAAUUAGGAAGCCAAGCUGGAUUGGUUCUAGUAACAGCUAAAUUUGCUAAUCAUGGUUUGAUAGUAGAAUGGGAAUGCAAGGACCUGUAAAGAAAGGAAAUGGGAAAGCUGAUUGAUUUCUGGGAGCAGGGGCUGGCAGACAGUGGCACUGGAUGUUUGGUUGUGGUUGGGAAUGAGCAGCUUGACCUCCCCAGGGUUGUCUGCUGGGGGUGGGUUUGGGUCCUGUGUGGCCACAGGUCUGUGCAGCAGCUGGAGCCUGGUCAGGUUUGGGGGCUGUGGUGUGCCAGGCUCCUGAGUUUGUUGUGCCUGUUUCCUUUGAGUGUCCCAGUGUCCCUGCUUGGCUGUUUGUUGCCCUGCAGGCAGAAGAGCCCCGGCCUGAGCUGGCUGAGUGUUGGUGUGACCCACAGUGGGUGUCCCCUGCCCUCGGGACAGUCCCCAGAGCUCCCUUUGGCAUCCCCUGGUGAAGGGUGGGAGCUGCCCAGAGCCAGCAGCAUCCAGCUGGAGGAUCCCGGAGGAUGCAGCUCUGCUUUGCUGGGAGCUUGUGCAGGAGAUGGAAUUCCAGUGCUACAGUGUAGAUGGGUGGUGGUGCUCCGAAAAGGAGCCUUUGUACCUUCAGGGCAGGUUCUGGUGCCCCUGGAGCUGUUGGGAGAAGCGGAGGGUUGGCAGUGAGAGGCCUGGAAUGAUGUUGCUGUAGCACAGAAGAAAUGAGCAGUGAUGGUACAACUGGCUGUUUUCUCUUGAAUGUGACUGUAAGAGCUCCAGGAGUGCAAGGUGUGUGUUCCAGUCCCCAGCAUUUGGUUUGCACAUGUCCUGCUCAGACACAGGUCCUACUUCCUCAGUCCUUAACGCAAUAGAGGGAGAAUUAAGGACUGGCAGUGUUAAGGUGAUUGGUGUGACAGGGGUUAAACUGGGAAAACAUUGGGGAAUUCCUCACUUGGUGUCUGCCAAACUCACCCAAACCUGUGCUAGGAAGGGAUUGAGUGCAAGAGUUGAGGCAGAAAUGGAAUUGAAAACUGGGGAUAUUGAAACUGUAAUUGCUGAAACUAAAUGUGUCCAAGCAGCUGCUCUUGUUGUGCAGGGAAUAACUCUU